rnacentral:rRNA from 1 species
UGGCGGACGGGUGAGUAACGCGUGGGUAACCUGCCCCAUACAGGGGGAUAACAGUUAGAAAUGACUGCUAAUACCGCAUAAGACCACAGCGCCGCAUGGUGCAGGGGUAAAAACUCCGGUGGUAUGGGAUGGACCCGCGUCUGAUUAGCUAGUUGGCGGGGUAACGGCCCACCAAGGCGACGAUCAGUAGCCGACCUGAGAGGGUGACCGGCCACAUUGGGACUGAGACACGGCCCAA